GAUGAACGCUGGCGGCGUGCCUAAUACAUGCAAGUCGAGCGAACAGACGAGGAGCUUGCUCCUCUGACGUUAGCGGCGGACGGGUGAGUAACACGUGGAUAACCUACCUAUAAGACUGGGAUAACUUCGGGAAACCGGAGCUAAUACCGGAUAAUAUAUUGAACCGCAUGGUUCAAUAGUGAAAGACGGUUUUCCUUUAACUAUUGGUUGAUUCCGCGCCGCAUUAGCUAGUUGGUAAGGUAACGGCUUACCAAGGCAACGAUGCGUAGCCGACCUGAGAGGGUGAUCGGCCACACUGGAACUGAGACACGGUCCAGACUCCUACGGGAGGCAGCAGUAGGGAAUCUUCCGCAAUGGGCGAAAGCCUGACGGAGCAACGCCGCGUGAGUGAUGAAGGUCUUCGGAUCGUAAAACUCUGUUAUUAGGGAAGAACAAAUGUGUAAGUAACUAUGCACGUCUUGACGGUACCUAAUCAGAAAGCCACGGCUAACUACGUG
rnacentral:rRNA from 1 species